rnacentral:lncRNA from 1 species
GGGAAGGAAAAAAAACAUACACAGCUGUGGACCACUUCUAAACACCCCUGUCUACGAUGUGAUUGGAUGAUGCAUAAACAUGGCUUUCUACAGCAAUGAUGCUGCUGUUCUUCUAAUGAAGCAAGUCUGUGGAAACUGGCUGCAAUCCUCAGCCAAUGAAGCAACUAGAAAAACAGGUUUUAGUUAAACCUUCUACAAUGGUGGUUUUCAAGCCCAGCUGAAGAUAAUAGCCAAACACUGGACUUGGAACUGGAAAGAGGGGCACAACACUGAGGGGCAGAAUAAGCAGAAAGUAAGGGACCUGAUGAAGGUUUUAUAUCAGUUCUGCCAGUCUACAAAAGCAGCUAAUUAUUGCAUGAGCUUCAGAGCCAACUGAAAUAACUCCACAGGACGGUUAUAAAAUCCUAUGAUUAUUGGUGUCACAGACACCAGUACCACAUAUGCAAGUGGGACAUAGAAAAUGCCUUGACCGAUUCUGUGGUUCCAGAAUUGUCUGAUGAUGUCAUAGCCUGAGAACCUCUCCAGUAAUCCCAGAAGUCCUUGUUAAGAUCUCUUUCACAUUAGGUGGCUAAGAAACCAUGGCGUCUGUUGACACAACCCUGAAUAUCAUCAACUGUGCUUUGCAUGACAGAGCUGGGGGCAGUCCUAUCAACAUUACACAUCAGGGAGACUGGAAGUCCCUCUCUUGAGUCCCA